UUAAAUAACUAAAAUAAGGUCAUCACUUGAGAACAUUAAUUUAUUUUUAGCAAAUUCUUUAUAUUUCUUGAAUACAGCUAGUUACCAUACAAGUUUUUCUAGUGCUUAGCACUACUGGGCCUGAUCCAUCACUGAGACCUUUUAGCACUUCCUUAAGUAAUCAAAGAACAUAGUCUCUCACAUAUUGUAUUUUAAAAGAAACACAAUUUAAAAGUUUAUUAUAUGUCUUAGCUGUGUCUUAAAAAUCUCAGAGUUGUGCUGUUUUCAGAUAGAAUUUUGAAUUCUCUUUUUAUAUGAUAAUUUUUAAACAGAAAAAACACUAGAGACUAUAUCCUAGUAUUCACUUCCUUCAUCAGCAGCACAGUGGCAAUCAAAAUGUUUCCAUGCUUCCUGGAAGUCACAAUGAUUGUCUAACUCUUCAAGAGCAUCUGCUUUCCUUUGUAUUUUGGUAAAUGUGUUCAACAAUUUCAUUAUAUCACUGCUAAACAGUUUUUCAAAAAAUUCAUCUGAUUUUUAUUUGUUACUAUAACAACUACUCUUGUACUGUAUGGAUGCCCUGCAAAUAUCAGAAAAAUCAAACCUAGACAGGUCCACUGUUGUUAUUAUAUACUACAUGCAUUUGCACAUUUUUAAGCAGAAGUGUAUUGAUAACAACACUGUGAGGUUUACUAGACCAUACACACAUUUUGAGCCUAAAUUUAACUUAAUUACACAUACAUGCAGAGAGCGUGAGCACUCACACAUAGAUACUCUAGAAACACAUGUAAAAGGUGCAGUGACAUGGCAGAGGAUUGAGAGCAUGGUGGACUAUACCCAGCAGUCAAUCGGGGUGGGGGCUUGCCCAUUACGCUCUGCUCAGGAGUCUUUAGUAGCCCAGGGAGCCCACAGGGCAUGCUGGGAGACAUGGAGAGUACCCUCUACCUGCUGACUUUGGCCAGUGUAGGAAGACUCUGAGCUUCCCCUACCGAAUGUCAAACAUCUGUUCAGGUCACUCUUGCUCUAAGUUAGACCACUGUAUGUAAAGCACAAUAGUCAGAGCACUUCUGCCUUGGGCUUUUUGAAUGUCUGUACUUAGCCCUAGUGGCCAGGAGCUGUAAAAAGGCUUUCUAAUGCUGGUAACUAGCUUUGGAGAGCCAGGUGUAUAGAGUAAAUUUACUAUAGAGUAAAAUAGGGGGCAUAUUACUCUCUAAUAAAUCAUGACUGUGUGUCUGCACCUUGAAAUCAAUAUGAACUAUGGAUAUUCAAUGUUCCUUUUAUUUAAAAAUAGCUUUUUUCAGAAAUGACAUAACAUAAGUAGCUCAGUACAAGAACACAAACCUGGUGAUAUAAAUCAAAGCCAAUUUAACUGAUUCUACAAUAAAUUAUGAUUGGCAAGCAAAAUUAUCUUGGCUGGAUAUUUGUGUAAGCAUGUUUUUAUUUAAAUAAAUUUUACAAGAGAAAAUAAAAUGUAUUGCCUUGAUUAAACUGCAAGCAUUUAAAUAUACUUGCACUGUUUUGUAUUAAAAAGUUGUUCAUUUAUAUUUUAAAGGGCAUCUGCAUUAGAUAUACAAGUUCUAUAUAGAGGGAAAUAGAUAUGCGUGCAUAUAUACAUACAUACAUACUAGCUAGUAUCCAAAUUAUAAGAGCUAUAAUUAUAUUCCAGUAAGUAUUGGUAACUAUAGAGAUUGAAACAUAUAAGUUGUUGACUGUGACUUGACACUUGAGAAGCUGCAGAUACUCUAGCUGUAGCUGAGUUGUCUACUUACAGUACAAUACAAAAUGCAAUUUCCAUAUAUAGUUUGGUCCACUGCAUCAAUAUUUUAGUUCCAGAUUUAAAAACUUCAAAUUUAGCUUUCAUGGCUGUUCUUAAUAAUUAGACAACCACAGCAAAUUGAUUAAUUUUUAGAUUAAAAAGGUAUUUUAAUCAUAAUUUUAUAUCUUCUGUUUUUUAAACAAGGCUUAAGAAUUUUUUUUUUUUUGACAAGGGGAAGAGAAGUGGAAAAAAUAGCAGAAUGGGAGGAGGUGGUAGAAGGCUACAAGGCAGGUGGUGGU